ensembl:snRNA U6 U6 spliceosomal RNA
GUGCUCGUUUCAGGAGCACAUAUACUAAAGUAGGAACAAUACAGAGAAGAUCGGCAUGGCCCCUGCUCAAGGAUGACUUGCAAAUCCAUCCCAUAUUUUA